rnacentral:ribozyme from 1 species
GCGAGCAAACAUGUCUUAUCUUCUCCCUCACUUGAACACUGGUUGGGCUGUUGAUCAAGCCAUUUUGGCCGAGGAAGAGCGUGUGGUUGUGAUUCGUUUUGGACAUGAUUGGGAU